rnacentral:tRNA from 1 species
UUCCUGGUGAUUUAGCUGGUAAAGAAUCCACCUGCAAUGUGGGAGACCUGGGUUCGAUCCCUGGCUUGGGAA